AGUGAGCGGGGCGGGGCACGCGGCGGAAGACAGACCUCCCGCCCUGGGAGAGAGCACCCCCCGACCCCCGAGAGAGAGAUCGACAGAGAAGGGGACAAGAUGCAGUCAGAGAAACCCCAAGGCCUGUUCCUCCAAUUGAAUCCCAAUGCAUCCUCCACUGAGACUCAACUCCUGGUGCCAGCUCUAGAGAGCAGAGAUACACUUCCACCUACCCACUGUUUCAUGGCAGGCACUGAGUCACCCCUUGGGAAUCCCUGGCCCCUGUCCCUGCCCCCACCAUGCUGGACAGGAUGCCUGCUGCCUGCCCCAAGGGGUCAGAGGAAGCCAGGGCCUCUAGGGCUCAGUAUUUUUAUCAGCCUAGGAAACAAGAGACACAGAAGCGGAAACCAUGUGGUCAGAGAAAGUGAACAGCCCUUAUCUCAGGGGAACCCCCACCAGGGCUGGGGGCCAGACACCAGGAAGGGACGUUGAAAAGACUGUGGUCCGGUGGGCCCAGGUUUCAGGGCUUAUUUUGCUUUGGUUUUAUGUAACUCUUGCAGAAGGGGAAAUGAUGUGCUUAAAAACCAGUGAGAAAUCUCCUGGGUGGAGGAGCAAAUUUGGUCACCAGAGUUUUCUGUAAUUUACUUCUCAACCUCCAGCUUAGGGAUCCUAACCCCAACUCCCCCCAAGGCCAAACCUGGACUCUUUGCAUGCCACUUCCGAAAAGCUCCAGCCUGUGAGAGGAACCGGACGCCAGGGUCACACACAGCUUGAAGUCUCUUCUCUGAAUCACAGCAGCUUCCUCUCACAGGAUCUUUCUCACCAGCCCUUCCCCCUCCUGCACCCUGAACAUCUGCCUGGUCCUUCAGAGGCCUUGGUCUCUUCCGAACUUCAGGCUGUCUUAUUCAAGGAUCUCAUGCCCACCCAUGUUCCCGUGUUCCCAGAGGCGUGCCCUCCCUGUCUUCUACUGCCUUCCACUUCCACUCCUGGGAUUCUCCUGUAGAGAACUGGGCUCAAAACCUGAAAGAUAAGUUUCUGAUUGAUAAGAUGCUCUGGUGUAACUAUGCAGACAGUGCACUCACCAGCACAUGUCUGUACUCUCCUUGCAGCCCUGUCCUUUCUUUUUGCCAAGUUCCCAGUUGUGUCCUGGGCGAUGGUAGUGGGGUCUACCUAUCUUAGUUUCCAGGGAGCCCCCCUCUCUCCUCCGUGGGAAUCCCAGACUCUCCCUCCACCUCUCAGGACUUCAACUACUGGUUCUUGGAAAAGGAAAUGUUUAUAGGGAAGGCCAUGCCUG